GAUCAAUGAUGAAAAUAGCCAAUCUGAUAUCAGAAGACCUCACAGUCUGCCUGAACACAUGAUCUCUAGAGUUUGAGA
rnacentral:snoRNA from 1 species